rnacentral:rRNA from 1 species
AGUGAACGCUGGCGGUAGGCCUAACACAUGCAAGUCGAAUGGCAGCACAGUAAGAGCUUGCUCUUACGGGUGGCGAGUGGCGGACGGGUGAGGGAUACAUCGGAAUCUACUUUUUCGUGGGGGAUAACGUAGGGAAACUUACGCUAAUACCGCAUACGACCUACGGGUGAAAGCAGGGGAUCUUCGGACCUUGCGCGAUUGAAUGAGCCGAUGUCGGAUUAGCUAGUUGGCGGGGUAAAGGCCCACCAAGGCGACGAUCCGUAGCUGGUCUGAGAGGAUGAUCAGCCACACUGGAACUGAGACACGGUCCAGACUCCUAUGGGAGGCAGCAGUGGGGAAUAUUGGACAAUGGGCGCAAGCCUGAUCCAGCCAUACCGCGUGGGUGAAGAAGGCCUUCGGGUUGUAAAGCCCUUUUGUUGGGAAAGAAAAGCAGCAGGUUAAUACCCCGUUGUUCUGACGGUACCCAAAGAAUAAGCACCGGCUAACUUCGUG